GAUGAACGCUAGCGGCAGGCUUAAUACAUGCAAGUCGAACGGGAUUGAGAAGCUUGCUUUUCAUGAGAGUGGCGCACGGGUGCGUAACACGUAUGCAACCUGCCUUGUCCAGGGGGAUAGCCCGUUGAAAGACGGAUUAAGACCGCAUAACAUCAUUGAAUGGCAUCGUUUAAUGAUCAAAUAUUUAUAGGGACAAGAUGGGCAUGCGUCUGACUAGCUAGUUGGCGGGGUAAUGGCCCACCAAGGUGACGAUAAGUAGGGGAUCUGAGAGGGUGACCCCGCACACGGGGACUAGGGCACUGACCAGUCGGAUAGGCGAGGCAACAGUAAGGAAUAUUGGGCAAUGGGCGCAAGCCUGAACCAGCCAUGCCACGUGCAGGAAGACGGACCUACAGGUUGUAAGCUGCUUUUAGACGAGAAUAACCCCAGUUUCGUGAAACCAACUGAAUGUACCGUAAGAAUAAGGAACGGCUAACUCCGUGCCAGCCGCCGCGGUAA
rnacentral:rRNA from 1 species